GUGAAUUUUCACAUGAUUUUGUGUUUUUAUCGCAUAAAUUUUUAAUAAAUUCAUUAAUUAUGAAUUCUAAGAAAGCUAAUGAGAAGAGCUAAGCAACAAAGAAAACAGUUACCAAUAGUUACUAUGGAUCACCAUAGAGGUGAAAAAAGAGAUUGUUAAAAGCACGAAGAUGGUAUGCGUAUCUGGGACUUGGCUGCUGCAUAUCAUAUGCCGAGAACGACGGUAUCUACGAUUAUGAAAAAUAGAUGUUAUUAAAUCGGCUAACAUGGCGAAGGGGAUGGAACGGAAUAACCAUUUUCCCUUCAUUUCUUAUGGCAAACGUCCUGCUUGGUAUAACUCCGAGAUUCUGGAAUGGAUUAAGGACGUAUACCGAGGUACCACUAAUUCCAAUUCAUUGAUAAUUCGAUCUCUUUCAAAUAUUCUAUUAUUUGUUGCUACACCGUCAAAACAAGCUGACAUUCUAAGAGAAUUAUUGGGAUUGCGUAUUACGAUACAAUAUUUGAAAACUUGAGGUUUACUUGAAAAAUGUAAAUUUUAAUUUUUUAUUAAUCUGAAAUCAAAAUUGUAGACAUAAAUUUUUUUUUUAUGAUUUGAAAGAAUUUGGUGGAUUCUUGUUUUAU
rnacentral:lncRNA from 1 species